rnacentral:tRNA from 1 species
GGUUUUGUAGUUGAAUUGACAACGUCAAAUUGCAAAUUUGAAGGUGUGUAGGUUACUCUAAAACUU